ACACUUAUCUCAUAAAGAAAACAGGAUCAAAACUGUGGGUGUCCAGGGAAAUGGUUAUCCAUUGCACUAUGGAUGUGUUGGCCCCUGUAAUUUUCCCAAAGGCAGGCAGAAAUCUUGAUGGUAUAAUCUGUGGUAGUAUAAGGACUGCAUUUGUGCUCUGUCCUGUG